rnacentral:rRNA from 1 species
AGUAAAUAGAUACCCUGGUAGUCCACGCCGUAAACGAUGAGUACUAGGUGUAGGAGGUAUCGACUCCUUCUGUGCCGCAGUUAAACACAAUAAGUACUCCGCCUGGGAAGUACGGUCGCAAGAUUAAAACUCAAAAGGAAUUGACGGGGGCCCGGCACAAGCAGCGGAGCAUGUGGUUUAAUUCGAAGCAACGCGAAGAACCUUACCUAGACUUGACAUCCCCUGAAUAACGUAGAGAUACGCGAAGCCCUUCGGGGUCGAGGGAGGACAGGUGGUGCAUGGUUGUCGUCAGCUCGUGUCGUGAGAUGUUGGGUUAAGUCCCGCAACGAAGCGCAACCCUUACUCAUUAGUUGCUACCCAUUUAGUUUGAGCACUCUAGUGAGACUGCCC